rnacentral:ncRNA from 1 species
AUCCAUGAAGAGGCGGAUAUAAACAAAUAAGAUGAGAAGAUCCUAUGGAGCUUUAAUUCAUUAAUGCAAAUAAAAACUCAUACAAGCCUACAGGCCCUAGCCUCCUAGCCCUGCAUUAAAAAUUUUGGUUGGGGUGAACUUGGAGCAUAAUUCAACCUCCGAACAACCUAAACUAAGAACUCACUAGUCUAAGCGAGUUAAUACACAUGGACUCAAUAAUUUGAUCAACGGAAUAAGUUACCCUAGGGAUAACAACACAAUCCUAUUCUAGGUCCAUAUCGACAAUAAGGUUUACAACCUCAAUGUUGGAUCAGGACAUCCUAAUGGUGUAGCCGCUAAUAAGGGUUUGUUUGUUCAAUGAUCAAAGUCCUACAUGAUCUGAGUUCAGACCGGAGUAAUCCAGGUCAGUUUCUAUCUAUUU